UUAUUCACGUUGAAACCCCGAUUCUUGUACGAUCACCAAAGUAAAGCAACAUCGAGACUGGUCAGUACCUAGAUGGGUGACCACUUGGGAAUAACAGGUACCGUAAG